rnacentral:lncRNA from 1 species
CGAAUUUUAUAGCAUUUAUGUAUGCACAUGCAUUGUACUUUAGUCCAUUUCACAGACUAAACCAAACACAACGAAUGUGAAAUACGAAUUAAAGUCUCUGGUCUCUGUUUGCAGCAAGAGGCCCAUUUGCUGGGUUCUGUCUGGCAUAAUCCCAGGGAGGCUAUGCCCACCUCACAGGUUGGUGGGGAUGUGGCCUUCUGAGGCUCUGCUUGACUGGGAGAUCCCUUCAGGACCAGUGUCACUGAGGGAGCAGGCUGCUGCCCCUCUUCAGAAGUAAUUAUCAGCUCAAUCAUCCGGAUGGCAAUGUCGCAGCUCUUUUCAGAAAAUUAAGCUGUCGCAGGUCUCCUGCAUCUUUGUCAGAAGGAGGUAUGAUGAAUCUGAGACGCAAAGGAGCUGAGAUAGCUCCAGGGGAGAAGAAACACAAUUGAAGAGAGCAUAUCAUUAUGAAGUGCCAAGCCUGGCUGUCCCUGGCAGAAAUGCAACAGAGACUAGGGAGUGAGAGAGACAGGCAAGCAAAAGCUGUAGCAGAUGGUCAGGAGAAGCCCACGGAAGACUCUGCUAGUGAUGGCUCCCUAUUCAGAUCCAAGGGCUGGCGCGGGAGGUAUCAGUGGAGAUAGGAGCACGCCAUCCUCAGCCUCACAGGUUGCUUCGGUUUGAAUUUCAACGAGGGGAGCCUGCCAAGAUCAGGCAGUAAAAUACGGACUGGAUCAUAAAUCCCAGCAGGGGUGGGAGAGCGUAAGACAGAUUGCUAACACCUUUAAAAAGAAAUUUUAAACAAAAAAGGUAGGAAUUUGCUUUAAAGUAUACCAGGCCCAGGAGGGACUGGGAGAGACAAGCCGUCUGAACGUGGGAGCUGGUUUGCCUCCCCAAUAGCACUUCUCUGAGGACUCCAACCCAUAGAAAGUUCUUCUGGCAGGCGAAGCAGGCCCCAUGGGCUCUUCAUCCAAAGCCAGCGAUGUUUCUCUGGGAUGUGUCUUGGAGAUAAGGCAGAAAUACUCUCAAAUGAGCACCUUCCAAAAAGUCGAGUCUUUCUGCAUCCUUCCCUCUGGAGUGACCGCUCAUGCCGCUCAUCAAAGUCUCCUUUCAUCAGCGCCAGGCCACGGGAAAUAAACGCAACUGGGAGCAAGGAGCUUGAAGCUGUAAGAAGAAAGCCAUGUGUUUCCUUCCUAAGACUAAAAUGAUUUCCCUACGAGGAAUAAAGAGCUUUUACAAACUUUCUGCAUGGAUACGUCUUGGAGGGGCGCACGCUGAUUUCUCUCACACCCGCACUGUGCACCAAGUGGAGAAACAGAAGCCCUUAUUUGCUUGGUUUUGUAACAGGUUCACUAUAUUUGAGCAUAGACAGAAAAGUAGACGGCCUUAUAACAGAGCUUAUUAUUACCCCGAUUUGGAUAAACCACAGGUCACAUCACGUCGGCUGAAACAUAACCG